CCUCCCUGCUCUCCCACUGACAACGGAGCAGCCAUCAGGACCUUUGGGACGGAGGAAAACGACUUUGCCUCCACUGAAACAAGAAAUAACUCUUUCUUCACUCUCAGGCCAGGAACCGCAGAGAUGGGGAUGUCCACCAGCUUUUUACAACCGGCCAGACAGGCACCGGCAGAAUGAUUCAGGGAGGAUUUCUGGAGGCCCAGAUAUGUCUCAGUCAACAGACUCGUCAGCAUCGUCAAACUCACCUCAGACAAGCCAGAGACAAGAGAAGACAUAAAGUUGUCUAUACAGCCACCGUUGGAAGUCCCAAUGCAGAAGGGAUCCAAAGGCUGACACUCGUGAGAAGGCCCACAGAGAGGGACGUCUUCUGGGAUGAGAGCACAGGACAAAGGUUGGACCCCAACUGCCUCCUGGAGCCAAAAUCUCUCUUUGAUGAAGAGACAGAAUAACCAGCCGAACAAACAGCUUCUGUGCACUACGGAUAGAAGAAGAGGUUGAGCUCAUGGUCUUAAAAGCAGGAAGUAAGAAAAGAAAUGUUCAACAAACUGGACAUAGAGGGCUUUUUUUUUGAUAAAGACGUAUCAUGGACAAGUGGAAGGAAAACAGCGAGGAAACGGCUGUAGCAAAGUGCAGAGACGUAGCUGGAUGAGCUGAGUCUGCUUGAAGCUGUCAGACAGCGAGGAUAAGAGGAACAACAGGGAUCCUGGACUGUAAGCUGGAGCAAGAGCACUUCGUAUUGAGUAAUCAGGAUUAGAACAGAUAAAACCUAAAGUCAGGUGAUGCCAAUUAAUUACUAAAUAGCUAUUGCGUAAUUUGGCGAAGACAAAUCUACAUUAACAAAUUCAAGCUUUCUGAAAUGAACAUGUUCUGUCGCUUCUUUUAUGUUUAGGCAUGAAAUCAAACUUACAAUAUGAUGAAAUCUCUUGAUGUUGAGGACAUAUUCCUAAGUUUAUGGUGCCCUCUAGGGAUGAAAGUGAUGCACUGACAUGAGAAGUCUUGCUAGUGGUACAGUGAAUUCUAAAAUUGUACGACACUGAUAUAAAACUUCCCAAACAAAACGUCAGAUUCACUUCAAAGACUCAGGAUUCAGAUCGGCAAGCUUUGAAGCAGGUGCUUGUCUAUUAUUGGAUUCUGGGUGAAGAGAUCGACACAAAAGAAUCCUCCAGUUUCCAAAGAUAUCCUGUUUUUUGAAAGUAAAUAAAAGCCUCUUGAAGAAUAAUCAGACUGAAAACAGGAAACUGCUAAUUGCACCAUCAUUCUUGAAGUGGUCUCCCCGAGUCCAGCUCUUAGCAGACUUAGAGAGGCUGAGAGGAACUGGACUCCUACCAAACACCUGGGGCCACAGCGGCUGACAAAAGCCUGGUCCUCGGGCACGAUGU